CUCGCCUCCUGUUUUACCACUAGAUGGUACUCAUAUUUUUGGUAUCUUUCAAAUACACAACUGUUGUUAUGUUCCCAUCAUUCUACUUUCUGCUUCUAUGAACUUGACCAUCUUAGACAUCUCACAUAAAAUAGGAGGCAUGGAAACAGUACG